UGGGGAAUUUUGGACAAUGGGGGAAACCCUGAUCCAGCCAUCCCGCGUGUGCGAUGAAGGCCUUCGGGUUGUAAAGCACUUUUGGCAGGAAAGAAACGUCGCGGGUUAAUACCCCGCGAAACUGACGGUACCUGCAGAAUAAGCACCGGCUAACUACGUGCCAGCAGCCGCGGUAAUACGUAGGGUGCAAGCGUUAAUCAGAAUUACUGGGCGUAAAGCGUGCGCAGGCGGUUCGGAAAGAAAGAUGUGAAAUCCCAGAGCUUAACUUUGGAACUGCAUUUUUAACUACCGGGCUAGAGUGUGUCAGAGGGAGGUGGAAUUCCGCGUGUAGCAGUGAAAUGCGUAGAUAUGCGGAGGAACACCGAUGGCGAAGGCAGCCUCCUGGGAUAACACUGACGCUCAUGCACGAAAGCGUGGGGAGCAAACAGGAUUAGAUACCCUGGUAGUCCACGCCCUAAACGAUGUCAACUAGCUGUUGGGGCCUUCGGGCCUUGGUAGCGCAGCUAACGCGUGAAGUUGACCGCCUGGGGAGUACGGUCGCAAGAUUAAAACUUAAAUGAAUUGACGGGGGUGCAUAGCUGUUUCCCU
rnacentral:rRNA from 1 species